UACGAAGGGGCUAGCGUUGCUCGGAAUUACUGGGCGUAAAGGGCGCGUAGGCGGAUAGUUUAGUCAGAGGUGAAAGCCCAGGGCUCAACCUUGGAAUUGCCUUUGAUACUGGCUGUCUUGAGUUCGGGAGAGGUGAGUGGAAUGCCGAGUGUAGAGGUGAAAUUCGUAGAUAUUCGGCGGAACACCAGUGGCGAAGGCGACUCACUGGCCCGAUACUGACGCUGAGGCGCGAAAGCGUGGGGAGCAAACAGG
rnacentral:rRNA from 1 species